rnacentral:rRNA from 1 species
CAGCAGCCGCGGGAAUACGAAGGGUGCAAGCGUUACUCGGAAUUACUGGGCGUAAAGCGUGCGUAGGUGGUGGUUUAAGUCCGUUGUGAAAGCCCUGGGCUCAACCUGGGAAUUGCAGUGGAUACUGGGUCACUAGAGUGUGGUAGAGGAUAGUGGAAUUUCCGGUGUAGCGGUGAAAUGCGUAGAGAUCUGGAGGAAUACCGAUGGCGAAGGCAGCCAUCUGGCCUAAUACUGACGCUGAGGUACGAAAGCAUGGGGAGCAAACAGGAUUAGAUACCCCCGUAGGUCCCUGUCUCUUAUA